rnacentral:rRNA from 1 species
CGGAAUCUAACCUUUGGUUUCCGGAAGUCGGUGUGAUAAUCAUGUUGCGCCGUCGUCUGACCUCAAAGUCCGCUUACAAUGGUCUUCGGACAACUUAUCAAAUUUGACCUCAAAUCAGGUAGGACUACCCGCUGAACUUAAGCAUAUCAAUAAGCGGAGGAAAAGAAACUAACAAGGAUCCCCCUAGUAACUGCGAGUGAAGCGGGAAAAGCUCAAAUUUAAAAUCUGGCGGUCUCGCGGCCGUCCGAGUUGUAAUCUGGAGAAGCGUUUAUCCGCGUCGGACCGUGUACAAGUCUUCUGGAAGGGAGCGUCAUAGAGGGUGAGAAUCCCGUCUUUGACACGGACUACCGAUGCUUUUGUGAUGCGCUCUCGAAGAGUCGAGUUGUUUGGGAAUGCAGCUCAAAAUGGGUGGUAAAUUCCAUCUAAAGCUAAAUAUUGGCGAGAGACCGAUAGCGAACAAGUACCGUGAGGGAAAGAUGAAAAGCACUUUGGAAAGAGAGUUAAACAGUACGUGAAAUUGUUGAAAGGGAAACGUUUGAAGUCAGUCGCGUCGGCCGAGACUCAACCUCGCUCCUUGCUUGGUGCACUUCUCGGUUGACGGGUCAGCAUCAAUUUCGACCGUCGGAGAAAGGUCGAGGGAACGUGGCAUCUCUCGGGAUGUGUUAUAGCCCUCGAUUCGGAUACGACGAUUGGGAUUGAGGUAUGCAGCGUGCCUUUAUGGUCGGGGAAUCAACCCACGUAACACGCUCAGGAUGCUGGCAUAAUGGCUUUAAGCGACCCGUCUUGAAACACGGACC